AUACGGAGGGUGCAAGCGUUGUUCGGAAUUACUGGGCGUAAAGAGUGUGUAGGCGGCUUGGUAAGUCAUAUGUGAAAGCCCUCGGCUCAACCGAGGAAGUGCAUAUGAUACUGCCAGGCUUGAGUCUCGGAGAGGGGGGUGGAAUUCCCGGUGUAGAGGUGAAAUUCGUAGAUAUCGGGAGGAACAUCAGUGGCGAAGGCGACCCCCUGGACGAUGACUGACGCUGAGACACGAAAGCGUGGGGAGCAAACAGGAUUAGAAACCCCAGUAGUCC
rnacentral:rRNA from 1 species